GCACGUAAGACUCAUUUUAUUUGAUCCAACUGUGUUUUUUUUUUUUUUUUAACUUGUAGGUUUUAUCUAAUUCUAAAAUAAUGAAUAAUACGGUGGCGAUAUCUUCGUAUCUGAAUAAAAAAGAGUAUAAAACCAGAAGAUAUCAUGAUAAUAUUUAAAAACAACCUUUCUAAAUAUCAAAAAGGUCAAACUGAAAUUAGAAGUGUAAUUAUAGAAUUUAUAAUUCGGUAGCAAAGUUAUAA
rnacentral:lncRNA from 1 species